GGGCCGUUAGCUCAGUUGGUAGAGCAGGUGACUCUUAAUCACAAGGUCGCAGGUUCGAAUCCUGCACGGCCCACCA
rnacentral:tRNA from 1 species